rnacentral:rRNA from 1 species
UAAGGCCGAUGGCGACCGGCGCACGGGUGAGUAACACGUAUCCAACCUGCCGAUGACUCGGGGAUAGCCUUUCGAAAGAAAGAUUAAUACCCGAUGGCAUAGUUCUUCCGCAUGGUAGAACUAUUAAAGAAUUUCGGUCAUCGAUGGGGAUGCGUUCCAUUAGGUUGUUGGCGGGGUAACGGCCCACCAAGCCUUCGAUGGAUAGGGGUUCUGAGAGGAAGGUCCCCCACAUUGGAACUGAGACACGGUCCAAACUCCUACGGGAGGCAGCAUG